UUCCGGUUGAUCCUGCCGGACCCCACUGCUAUCGGGAUAGGACUAAGACAUGCUAGUCGUCCAGCCAACCGCGGCACACAGCUCAGUAACACGUGGCUAAUCUGCCCUUGGGACCGGAACACCCCCGGGAAACUGGGGCUAAUUCUCGAUAGGUGAAGAACUCUGGAAUGAGUCACACUUACAAUGCUUUGCCGCCCAAGGAUGAGGCCGCGACCGAUCAGGUUGUUGGUGAGGUAAUGGCUCACCAAGCCUUUUACCGGUGCGGGCCGUGAGAGCGGGAGCCCGGAGAUGGGCACUGAGACAAGGGCCCAGGCCCUACGGGGCGCAGCAGUCGCGAAAACUUUGCAAUAAGCGAAAGCUUGACAGGGCUAUCCCGAGUGCCAUCCGCUGAGGAAGGCUUUUACCCAGUCUAGAACGCUGGGGGAAUAAGGAGAGGGCAAGUCUGGUGUCAGCCGCCGCGGUAAUACCAGCUCUCCGAGUGGUGUGGAUGUUUAUUGGGCCUAAAGCAUCCGUAGCUGGCUAAGUUAGUCCCUUGUUAAAUCCACCGAAUUAAUCGUUGGAUUGCGGGGGAUACUGCUUGGCUAGGGGACGAGAGAGGCAGACGGUAUUUCCGGGGUAGGGGUGAAAUCCUAUAAUCCCGGGAAGACCACCAGUGGCGAAGGCUGUCGGCUAGAACGAGCCCGACGGUGAGGGAUGAAAGCUGGGGGAGCGAACCGGAUUAGAUACCCGGGUAGUCCCAGCUGUAAACGAUGCAGGCUAGGUGUUUGGACGGCCACGCGCCGUUCUAGUGCCGCAGGGAAGCUGUUAAGCCUGCCGCCUGGGGAGUACGAUCGCAAGAUUGAAACUUAAAGGAAUUGGCGGGGGAGCACCACAAGGGGUGAAGCUUGCGGUUUAAUUGGAUUCAACGCCGGA
rnacentral:rRNA from 1 species